AUGGAUCGUGAUCCGCUUGCCAAUCUUUUUAAGAGAUCCAAUUAUGAUGAACCAAUUCCUAGUGAUUUGGAUGCACUAGAUUAUCUUUAUAAGGUUUUGCCUAAAAUCCGUGAAGUGACUCAUGAUAGAUCUUUGAAUAAAAAGCAUGAUUGCAAUGAUUUUAUUAUAAAUUCUUUUGAUGUCAAUUGUGCUAAUAAUAUGCAAAACCCUAAGCUUGGGGAUGCUAGUUUUGCUAUGUCCUCUACUUGUUGCAAUGAUCAUGAUUGGGGUGAUUCUUCUUAUGAUCUUGAAAAUUUAUUUAAGCCCCAUGAUGAAUAUGAGAUUGAUAAUAUUGUUUGCAAUAAUAUUGAAAGUGGGUUUGGAAGAGUGUCAACUUUAGAUCCCACAUAUUUGGAGAAUGUUCAAUCUUAUGGUAUUUUUGAUAAAAGUGGGUUUGGAGAGGUCAUGACUUUAGUUAAUGUUAAUCCCACUAUCUUGGAAGAGUGUCAACUUUGCAUGCAUGUGGAUCAUGUUGAGAAUAUGUUAUGUGAUUGCUAUUUUUUUGAAUUUGCUUAUGAUCCUACAUGUAAUUAUUAUGAGAGAGGAAAAUAUGGUUGUAGAAAUUUUCAUGUUACUAAAUUACCUCUCGUCAUGUUGAGAUUGCUAUCUUCUCUUUCUCAUUCCUUGCAUAUCCUAGUUUUUGUUUGCCUUGCAAAUUUGUUUGUCUAUAAGAUGCCUAUGCAUAGGAAGUAUGUUAGACUUAGAUGUGUUUAUCACGUGUUUUAUGAUGCUCUCUUUAUGCUUUAA
rnacentral:rRNA from 1 species